GUACUACUCCCUCCGUCCAACAAAAGAUGUUUCAAGUUUGUCAAAAUUUAAAUGUAUCUAAACAUGAUUUAAUUUAUAGAUGUAUUUAAAUUUUAUCAAAAUUGAGACAUCGUUUGUUGGAAGGAGUAAUUU
rnacentral:pre_miRNA from 1 species